AUUGCUGUAGAUUCUACAGCAAAAUUCUACAGAAAUUUAUUGUUUUAUCAUUUUACAAGUUAUUACUGUAAUUCGCAAUGCAUUAUGGGUCAAAAGGAGUAUUACAGUUGUUUACUGUAUAUUUCCCUGUCAACUGUAAAUUGAUUUACAGGUAAGAGGUGUUUUCACUGUAGUUCAUACGUUUUACAACAAUUUACUGUGACGUGGCAUUAUGGGAUUGCGCGGGCUGAUUACAUUUGAAAUCUGGUGGACUGGAGCAGGGCAGGAUCGAGUUGAAGAUAAAAGGCACUAUUUACUCAAUUUUUGGCGAGGCAAUCGCGACGGCGCGCGCUCAGUGGUGAGGCGAUCUGAACUUACAAGCACAAGAUGUCAGCAACAGCAGCUGAAGUGGAAAAAAGUUCUACACUUUCAGACUCUCUGAGACUAAUUGUCUUAGGUGAAAUUCUCACUGCAACCCAGUGGAUGCUGAGUAUUGAGGGUCAAGUGGUUCUGAAUCAACACCCCAAUUUCAUGGCUGAAUUUGCUGCUUUGUUUGCAACUUACUACAACUUUAAUCUGGUGUACCAGCACGAGGCAUCCUGCACACUUGAAUUUGUUCAAAGAUGUUUACCAAGAACAUCAAUGAAAGUGGAAAGACCUCAGAGAAGAGGCACAACACAGUCAAUCCUACUCUUCUCAUUAGGCUACCCUGUGGACCUUGAGUGGUUAAGCAUGUGAGUUGUCAAAUGUAUAUAUAAAACAAAAAAAUGAGAUGUCUAUAAUUACACAAAAUGUAAAAAAGUACAAAAUGUAAGAUGUGAGUUAACAAUUUUGACAUUCUGUUGUUUGAGCUUAAAGGGAUAGUUCACUUUGAAAUUAAUUUUUGAUAUGUUUGAUCUUACCUCAAGGG